rnacentral:rRNA from 1 species
UACGAAGGGGGCUAGCGUUGCUCGGAAUCACUGGGCGUAAAGCGUGCGCAGGCGGUUUUGUAAGUCUGUCGUGAAAGCCCCGGGCUCAACCUGGGAAUGGCGAUGGAGACUGCAAGGCUUGAAUCUGGCAGAGGGGGGUAGAAUUCCACGUGUAGCAGUGAAAUGCGCAGAUAUCAGGAGGAACACCUAUUGCGAAGGCAGCUCGCUGGGACGUAACUGACGCUGAGACGCGAAAGCGUGGGGAGCAAACAGG